CAGUCGCCGCGGGAAUACGAAGGGUGCAAGCGUUAAUCGGAAUUACUGGGCGUAAAGCGUGCGUAGGCGGUUUGUUAAGUCUGUUGUGAAAUCCCCGGGCUCAACCUGGGAAUGGCAAUGGAUACUGGCAAGCUAGAGUGUGUCAGAGGAUGGUGGAAUUCCCGGUAUAGCGGUGAAAUGCGUAGAGAUCGGGAGGAACAUCAGUGGCGAAGGCGGCCAUCUGGGACAACACUGACGCUGAGGCACGAAAGCGUGGGGAGCAAACAGGAUUAGAUACCCGCGUAGUCCCUGUCUCUUAUAC
rnacentral:rRNA from 1 species